CUUGGCGCUCUAUCGCGCAUGCGCUGCGGCCCCGUCUCACCAGCAGCAGCGAAGGCGCUUGGAAGUUCAAAAUGGCCGCCGCGGUGGAGUCUGUGCUGCGGGAGCCCGAAAUUGAAGAUGCAGAAAUUUCUGAGAGAAGUGUCAAUGAAGAAAAUGGUGAAAUAUCAGAAGGAGAACAACCUCAGAAUAAGCACAGCCGACACAAAAAAAAGAAACACAAACACCGAAGUAAACACAAGAAACACAAACAUUCUUCAGAAGAAGACAAGGACAAAAAACAUAAACACAGGCACAAACAUAAGAAACAUAAACGGAAAGAGGUUGUUGAUGCCUCUGACAAAGAAGAUGGACCAGCAAAAAGAACUAAAAUUGAUUUCUUAGCUCCUCUAGAAGAUUUGGAAAAACAAAGAGCAUUAUUGAAAGCUGAACUUGAGAAUGAGUUAAUGGAAGGAAAAGUUCAGUCUGGGAUGGGGUUAAUAUUACAAGGUUAUGAGUCAGGUUCUGAAGAAGAGGGAGAAAUCAAUGAAAAGGUGCGAAAUGGCAAUAGGUCUUCAACUAAAUCAUCAAACACUAAGGGGAAAUUAGAGCUUGUGGACAAUAAAACAAGUUCCAAAAAAGCAAGUAAGAAUGAAUCAAAGGAACGGACUAGGCACAGAUCUGAUAAAAAGAAAAGCAAGAUAGGAAUUGAUGGAGUGAAAGAGAAAACAACUAGAAGCAAAUCAAAAGAGAGGAGAAAAUCAAAAAGCCCAUCUAAAAGAACUAAAUCUCAAGAUCAAACAAGGAAAUCAAAGUCACCAACCCUUAAAAGGCGGUCUCAGGAGAAAAACAGAAAGUCUAAGUCUCCUCCAGAGGAUAAGAAUAAAGCAGAUGAUAAGAGUAAAGCAAGAGAUCGCAGAAGGUCUCCAGUUGUAAAUGAAAGCAAAAGUCGAGAUCGUGGCAAGAAAUCCAAAUCUCCAAUAGAAUUAAGAAGCAAAUCCAAAGACAGAAGGUCACGAUCAAAAGACAGGAAAUCAAGGAGAUCGGAGACUGACAAAGAGAAGAAGCAAAUUAAAUCUCCUUCAAAAGAUGCUUCUUCAGGGAAAGAAAACAGGUCUCCUAGUAGAAGACCUGGCCGUAGCCCUAAAGGAAGAAGCUUAUCUCCAAAACGUGACAAAUUACGAAGAAGCAGAUCGCCUCUUCUUAACGAUCGCAGAUCAAAACAGAGUAAAUCACCCUCUCGAACUCAAUCUCCUGGUAGAAGAGCAAAGAGCAGAUCAGCAGAAAGGAAACGAAGAGAAUCAGAAAGGAGGCGUCUUUCUUCUCCCAGAACCCGACCUAGAGAUGAUAUUCUCUCUAGACGUGAGAGAUCAAAAGAAGCCAGCCCACUGAGAUGGUCACCAUCCAGAAGAAGAUCUAGGUCUCCCAUCCGAAGGAGAUCUCGUUCACCACUCCGACGUAGCCGGUCUCCAAGAAGGAGAAGCAGGUCUCCUCGGAGGAGGGAUAGAGGUCGGAGGAGUAGAUCUCGGCUUCGGAGGAGGUCUAGGUCACGGGGUGGUCGUAGACAUAGCAGUAGAAGCAAAGUUAAGGAAGAUAAAUUUAAAGGAAGUCUUUCUGAAGGCAUGAAAGCUGAGCAGGAAUCCUCAUCAGAUGAGAACCUUGAAGACUUUGAUGUAGAAGAAGAAGAUGAAGAAGCCCUGAUAGAGCAGAGAAGACUACAGAGACAAGCAAUUGUUCAGAAAUACAAGUACCUGACUGAAGACAGUAAUAUGUCUGUGCCAUCUGAACCAAGCAGUCCUCAGAGCAGCACACGUAGUCGUUCAAAUUCACCAGAUGACAUUCUGGAACGUGUAGCUGCUGAUGUUAAAGAGUAUGAACGGGAAAACGUUGAUACAUUUGAGGCCUCUGUAAAAGCCAAACACAACCUCAUGACAGUUGAACAGAAUAAUGGCUCAGCUCAGAAGAAGCUAUUAGCUCCUGACAUGUUCACGGAAUCGGAUGAUAUGUUUGCUGCAUACUUUGAUAGUGCUCGUCUUAGGGCUGCUGGCUUUGGAAAAGACUUCAAAGAAAACCCCAAUCUCAGGGAUAACUGGACUGAUGCAGAAGGCUAUUAUCGUGUUAACAUAGGUGAAGUUCUAGAUAAACGUUACAAUGUUUAUGGUUACACUGGCCAGGGAGUUUUCAGUAACGUAGUGCGAGCCAGAGAUAUGGCCAGAGCAAACCAAGAAGUGGCAGUCAAAAUAAUCAGGAACAAUGAACUUAUGCAAAAAACUGGUCUCAAAGAACUGGAAUUUUUGAAGAAGCUCAAUGAUGCAGAUCCUGAUGACAAAUUUCAUUGUCUGCGAUUGUUCAGACAUUUUUAUCACAAACAGCACCUCUGUCUGGUAUUUGAACCACUCAGUAUGAAUUUACGAGAGGUACUGAAAAAGUAUGGAAAGGAUGUCGGUCUCCACAUUAAAGCUGUACGGUCUUACAGCCAGCAAUUGUUCCUGGCAUUAAAACUACUUAAAAGAUGUAACAUCCUACAUGCUGAUAUUAAACCAGACAAUAUAUUGGUGAAUGAAUCUAAAACCAUAUUAAAGCUUUGUGAUUUUGGAUCAGCUUCACAUGUUGCAGAUAAUGACAUCACACCAUAUCUUGUCAGUAGAUUUUAUCGAGCUCCUGAAAUUAUUAUAGGCAAAAUCUAUGAUUAUGGUAUAGAUAUGUGGUCAGUAGGCUGCACGUUAUAUGAACUUUAUACAGGAAAAAUACUGUUUCCUGGCAAAACCAAUAACCAUAUGCUGAAACUUGCCAUGGACCUCAAAGGAAAGAUGCCAAACAAGAUGAUCCGAAAAGGUGUAUUCAAAGAUCAACACUUUGAUCAAAAUCUCAACUUCAUGUAUAUAGAAGUAGACAAAGUAACAGAAAGGGAAAAAGUUACUGUCAUGAGCACCAUUAAUCCAACCAAGGACCUGUUAGCAGACUUGAUUGGGUGCCAACGACUCCCUGAAGACCAGCGGAAAAAAGUGUGUGUGUGCAGGCCACAGCAGCAUGCCCUUGGUGUAGUCAGUGCCGAAGGGGGUCUGUUCCUUCUUGAGCCUGCCUGCAGGGAUGGUCUCCUCUUUUAAAGCAGGUUGUGUACAACUUUCAGUACACUGAAGGUAAGCUAAACCAUCAACAUCACCGGUGUUUAAGAUGUUAUUUUACUGGAACAACUGACAAAUGAGAGACAAUAGCUUUAUGGCAGAAUUCCCUGCAUGUUUGAUAAAUGAUGUUUUAUUUUCUGGCAUUGCAACUGUGGCAUAGUUACGACUUCUGUUCAGUUCAUCACAUUUAAAAUUUGGAGAAUGCGCACUUGAUGGAUAGAGCGCCUUCAGUGUACUGUUCUUAUUACUUUAAUUUUUUUAAUCAACUUGCUAUAGACUUGGUAUACAUUUUGUUAAAUAUAGUUCACUAUGACAUAGAACCAAUACUUAACAGAAAAGUUUUCAUUUACUAAUUACAUAUGUUGGGAUCUGAUUCUGAAAGACCUUAUAUCUAAAGGAUAGAUAGACAAUAUAAUGAAAUUUUUAACUAUUUGUAUGUCAUUUUGAAAAUGUACUGCUUUAUGCUAAAAGUGUUUCAUUUGUUCAUUGUUUUCAUUAUUUGUGAUCAUGUUGUCUUUCAAUACAGGCAUAAACCUUCCACUCUUGAACAAAGCAGCUGCUUUUUAAAAGCGGUAAUUGCUUCUUUACCUUUUAUUUCUUUUGUAAAUGAAGCUUUUCUUUAAGAAAUGUGACAGUGUUGUCUCUUGCAUAAAACAGUUGACACUCACUUAUUGUAAAGUGAAGAUUGUUCUGCUGCAUGUAAAGUGGACCAUGCAGAUUUCUGUAUGUUUUCAGUAUGCAUCAUUAGAUAAUAAAGUCUUUUGUGAACAAGGCAUUUGUAGCCAUUUUUAAAAGAUUUUGUCUUCAGUGCUGGUAAAUCAGGUAAUACAUAAGAAGAAACCCUUCAUUUUUCUGUAAAUCCUUUAAUUAAAGGGAUUAUUAAAAGUUAUGAUCUUUGGAAGGCGAUAUUAAUUAGAUCUGUAAUUAUCAUCAUUGUAAAAGAAAACAAACCAAAAACCUACAGAUACUGUCUAUCUGCUUUCAUUGUUAUGAAAUUAUUCCUGUAGGAUGUAUGAUUGAAUUCAGGCUUUAACUAAUGUUUGUGCUAUUUUUCUCACUUUUCCUUUUGAUGGUGCUGAAAGAGAGAAAGGAAAGCGAGGCACAGGCCACUCUACGCCUACUCCAUGGGUCUGAUUUGAUGAGACACCAACUUCACCUUCCUAACAAGGCACAAACAUGCACACUUAGUGCAAUCAAGGAUGGAAAAUGAGACUAAGCAGUCAUUCUGCUGGUGGGGUGUUCCCCACCAAGGAGAUGUAAUGAACUACAAAGCAGGCAGGUGAUGGGUGAUGUUACAUGCCUAUUUUGAACCUUCAACCUGUCUUUUCUCAGUUUUUAUUUUAAUUUUUGAUGAAAAGUAAAUCUGUUCCUACUUCAACGUAUUAAGUUUCUUGUUCAUACAGGAAAUAGAAUGCAGAUUUCACUCCUACUGAAAUGAAGAACUAGAUAGAUACUUGUUAGCUAAUUUCACACAAAGAAAUUUGCACUGUUAUGGUGAUGCCUAUAACAUAUUCAGCAGUUCUGGUGGCAAUUUUACACAGAUGUAGUGAAAUCCUAUUGUUUCUGUUGAUUUUGACCAUUAUUUUGUAUCCCUAUUUAAGAAUCGUGAAAUGAGUUGUCAGCUCCAAUAGAAACAAUGCACCUUAUACCUACAGAACUUUUAAAAACUAUUCUAAAGAAGAAUAAAGUUGCUCGUUUACUUGUUCUUUGUGUUGUAGGUGCAGCUCAAAAGAAGAUGACGACCAUCAGAAGACAUGAACAAAGGGUAAGUGGCAGUAAACCUCUGAAGAACCUUUGAAUAUAUUGAUCCAUACACAGAAGGCUGAUCAUUCUGUGAGAAUACAGGAGAUAUAACGUAAUCUUCUACAGUGUAUUAAGUCACCAACUGUAACUCAUCGUUAUAGCAGCAAAUGUUCAAAGUGGCAAUUGCUUCAAGUUAAUAAAAUAAGAUUUUGGAAGUUA